AGUUCAUGAUUGCAAUAUAAUAAAAUCGACCAAGCCUGAAGUCAGCAGCCCCUUCAAUGAAUGCAGCAGUGUGACAGCCAACAAUCAAAAGUUACAAGAAGAUAUCGAGGAAAUGCAGAAGGCAAAAAACUGCGUAGGAGAUCAUUAAUACAAAAGUAUUAUAUAAACCAAACCUGAUGUUGCCAGCUCCUUCAAUGAAUGCAGCAGUGUGACAGCCAGCAAUCAAAAGUAACAAGAUAUCGAGGAAAUGCAGAAGGCAAAAAACUGCAUAGGAGAUCAUUAAUACAAUAGUAUUAUAUAAACCAAGUCUGAUGUUGGCCGCUCAUUCAAAGAAUGCAGCAGUGUGACAGCCAGCAAUCAAAAGUAACAAGAUGUCGAGGAAAUGCAGAGUGUAAUAAACUGUGUAGGAGAUUAUGAUUGCAAUAGAAUAAAAUCGACCAAGCCUGAAGUUUUUCAAUGCACGCAGCAGUGUGACAGCCAGCAAUCAAAAGUUACAAGAUAUCGAGGAAAUGCAGAAGGCAAAGAACUGCGUAGGAGAUUAUUAAUACAAUAGUAUUAUAUCAACCAAGCCUGAUGUCGGUAGCUUCUUCAAUGAAUGCAGCAGUGUGACAGCCAGCAAUCAAUAGUGACAAGAAUUUAGGAAAUACAGAAGGCAAAGAAGCAGAUAUCAUCAAAGAAGAUCUUUGUUCCUGCAAUGUUUCCGCAGACGAUACAUCCAACAGAG